CACGUAGGGUGCGAGCGUUUGUCCGGAAUUAUUGGGCGUAAAGAGCUCGUAGGCGGUGUGUCGCGUCGGCCGUGAAAACCUGCAGCUUAACUGUGGGCUUGCGGUCGAUACGGGCAUCACUGGAGUUCGGCAGGGGAGACUGGAAUUCCUGGUGUAGCGGUGAAAUGCGCAGAUAUCAGGAGGAACACCGGUGGCGAAGGCGGGUCUCUGGGCCGAUACUGACGCUGAGGAGCGAAAGCGUGGGGGAGCGAACAGG
rnacentral:rRNA from 1 species